UUUUUUUCCUUUUAAUGGUGGUAUUAGUACCAUGUUGUGCUCAUUCCAUUGGGGGAAGGAAGACUAAGAAAGAUAUGCCAUUUUGGUCAACAAAUACGCUUUUUAUCAUAUCCUUGAAUAUAUUUGUCUCAAUAUUUAUUUGACUUUACUUCUAUAUCAAUCCUUGAAUAUUUAUAUAACAUAUAAUAUAUAACAUACAAC
rnacentral:lncRNA from 1 species